UCGGCGUUCGGCGUCAUACAAAUUUUUAUUCAUUUUAUAAAUAAAAAAGGUUUUUAUUAAUAUAUCCUAAAAAAAUUUUCGACAAUAAUCGCUUUCAGUUAUCGAUUAAAUGUCUCAUCUCCCAUCUCUAAAACAUUUAACAGCUGAGUGCGUAAUUAAUUUCACGAAAUGGAUAAGGCAUUGAACAUGUAUUCAAUUGAACUACAGCGCAACGCAAGUCGUAAAAGUAAAGUGUGGGAGUUUUUUAGUUUAAUUUGUUAUUUCGCUUGACUCACUUAUUAAUAAAAGGAAAAAAAAAA